CAGAGAUGACACCAAGGAAACACCACCACAAGGAAAGAAGUCACCUUCUCCAGCAGUUUAAAGGACGGACUUUACCCUGAAGAAGUGUGUAGUCUCUCUGAUUAAGUGGUUCUCAACAGUUCAACAGUUCUUAGAGAAAAUUGUGAAAUGUUUAGGACCACUUGACCAGUAAGAUGAAUGCUGCCGCCUUUGGAAAAUGCUGCAUUUGAAUGGACCUGUAAAAACAUCUCAGAAGACCUGACUUUUGGUGAUUUUAGAGCAACUCUGUGAUUUCCUCUGCCUUUCUGCUUCCUUUAUGUCCCUCUCUGUCUUCCUCUCUCAUUGUGCCCCCUUGUGUUACAAUGACAACUGCAGUCCAGGAAUUGUGGGGGCUGUAAAAAUCAUCAGGCUUCAGUAAUUUCAGCCUGCUGGCACAGACGCAAAUUUUUAACAGCCCUGCUGAUGCAGUAACAUCAUCUUUUUUUCCCUGUUUUACUGUUGCUACUAUUCAGAGGUACUGAUUAAAACAAGUCAAUAAAGAA